rnacentral:RNase_P_RNA from 1 species
AAAGCAGAUCGUCUUAUCGCUCCGAUUUAUCGGGGAGGAAAGUCCGGACACCAAAGAGUAGCAUAGCGGAUAAUAACCGCCCGGUGUAAACCGAGGACAAGUGCAACAGAAAGUAUGUACAGUUAGGCUGUAGUGAAACCAGGUAAACUCUAUGCGGUGAAAUGCCAUGUAUAUUGAAGUUCAAGAGUUACUCGCUCAAUUUCAAGGGGUAGGCAGCUAGAGCUAAUAAGUAAUUAUUAGUUUAGAUAAAUGAUAAGAAUUCUUAAAUAUUGAGUUUUCUUAAUAUUUAAGAAUACAGAAUCCGGCUUAUAGAUCUGCUUUUUAU